UACGUAGGGGGCAAGCGUUGUCCGGAAUCAUUGGGCGUAAAGAGCGUGUAGGCGGCCCGGUAAGUCCGCUGUGAAAGUCCAGGGCUCAACCCUGGGAUGCCGGUGGAUACUGUCGGGCUCGAGUCCGGAAGAGGAGUGUGGAAUUCCUGGUGUAGCGGUGAAAUGCGCAGAUAUCAGGAGGAACACCAAUGGCGAAGGCAGCACUCUGGGACGUGACUGACGCUGAGACGCGAAAGCGUGGGUAGCGAACAGG
rnacentral:rRNA from 1 species